AGCUGAUGGAAGAGCGCUUGCACCUGUCCUCCUUCCAAAUUGGAAGCUGAGGCUGGAAUGGCUGUCACUCAAGGUCUCCCUCAGCGAGUCUGCUUCCACAGGUGCUGUGACUCCUGCCUCGGAAGCAGGAGCUUUCCCUCAGUCUGUGUUCCCUCAAUAAACCUCUAUCGUCUUAGCAUCUGCUUCUGGGAGAACCUGAACCGACACAGAGGGCUGAAAUCCGGCCCCUCCUGGGGCACUGAAGACUGAGGCCGAGAAGAAAUCCCGUCUGCUCUGCUGCUCCAACCCAGCUCUCCAGCCUCUUCCAAAAGAGAGGUGUAAAGGGGCCUCGAGAAUAAGAUCUGAGCAUCGGGACUGAUCUCAAGCUUCUGAAUCAAAGGGCCCAAGCCUAUGGAACAAUCAUUCGGACAGAAGAGGCUGAAGGCAGGAUUUAAACCCAAGUCACUAAAGUGGCACAAACUGGCAAAAUCUUUGACCCAAUAAGUUCACUUUUAGGAAUUUAUCCUACAGACACACAUACACACACAUAUGAUUAAUAUAGCAAUAUUUGUAACAGAAAAAUAUCGGAAAUCUAAACAUCUCUCAAUAGGAAGCUGCUUUAGACACUACGGUAUAGCCCACGUGCAAUCCUAUGUAGCCUUAAAAAAGAAAAAAAUAAACUUCAUUAAAUGAUACAUAAAAAGAUAUAAUGUUAAAAGAAAAAAGCAAGGUACAGAAGAGCGUAUGCAAUAUGCUACUAUUUCUGUAAAAAUGGGGACUACAUAUUUUCUUGUAUGUGUGUAAAACAUCUCUAG
rnacentral:lncRNA from 1 species